rnacentral:rRNA from 1 species
CAGUGCCGCGGGAAUACGAAGGGGGCUAGCGUUGCUCGGAAUUACUGGGCGUAAAGGGAGCGUAGGCGGACAUUUAAGUCAGGGGUGAAAUCCCAGAGCUCAACUCUGGAACUGCCUUUGAUACUGGGUGUCUUGAGUGUGAUAGAGGUAUGUGGAACUCCGAGUGUAGAGGUGAAAUUCGUAGAUAUUCGGAAGAACACCAGUGGCGAAGGCGACAUACUGGAUCAUUACUGACGCUGAGGCUCGAAAGCGUGGGGAGCAAACAGGAUUAGAUACCCCUGUAGUCCCUGUCUCUUAUACA